rnacentral:sRNA from 1 species
AGCGGCACGGAUGCCGCCGAUUCCACGCAGUAGUGAGUUUCAGCCGCAGCUGAAACUCAUAGUGAAAACUGCACUCAUGACGUGCAGUUUUCAUCAGGG